rnacentral:rRNA from 1 species
CACGCAGGCGGUCUUUUAAGUUUGGAGUGACAGUUCCUGGCUCAACUGGGAAAGUGCUUUGAAAACUGGAAGACUUGAGGGCUUCAGAGGGACACGGAAUUCCGGGUGGAGUGGUGAAAUGCGUAGAGAUCCGGAGGAACACCAAAGGCGAAGGCAGUGUCCUGGGGAGUACCUGACGCUCAGGUGCGAAAGCCAGGGGAGCGAACG